UUUUCCUCCACUUGCUUUCUGCUACAGCUAGCAUAGCCUGUCAUGAAUGCUAGGGCUAGCCAGCCUUGGCAUGAUGGUGUAUGAAUAGAUUUCCUAUAAUGUUCAGCCUCACAGCCAGCUGUCGCUUCUGCUGCAAACAGAGGUUCCCAUCAUCAGAGACAAAACCAAAGGAGACACGUACAGAACAACUGGACCAUGUUGUUCUGAUUUGGAGCUUGCUUCUUUGAGAAGACAAACACCGAUAUGGGUCAGAGGAGACAAACCGAAGACGCACAGACGACUGAUAAUCCAUGUUUGUGCAUGUGUUAGAGU